rnacentral:lncRNA from 1 species
UGAUCAUCUUUUGUACAUGAUGGUAAAUGAUGUAAGGAAAAGAAUGUAAAGCUUAUUUUGAGGUAAAUGUGAUGUAAGAAAGAAAUGAUGAAAUUAUGUAAUGAAAUGCAAAGAAUCCUAAAUGUAAGAGAUGGAUGCAAUGUAUAUGAUCUAAAAUGAAUCAUAUUACUUGUGAAUGUUUAGUUUCCUUUUUCUUUCACUAAUGGCUAUUGUUUACCUUCGUGUAAGUCGUUUGUGUAUGUUUCCGCUA